GCUUGUGGAGCUGGUGGCGGCGCUCCGCAGGGGCUCGGCUGUUCUCCGCGCGGCGGGCGCGGCCAUGGCGCAGCCGGGGAAGCUGCUCAAGGAGCAGAAGUACGACCGGCAGCUGAGGUUGUGGGGUGAUCAUGGGCAAGAGGCUUUAGAAUCUGCUCAUGUUUGCCUAAUAAACGCAACAGCCACAGGAACUGAAAUUCUUAAAAACUUGGUACUACCAGGUAUUGGUUCGUUUACAGUUAUUGAUGGAAAUCAGGUCAGCGGAGAAGAUGCUGGAAACAAUUUCUUCCUUCAAAGAAGCAGUAUCGGCAAGAACCGAGCUGAAGCUGCCAUGGAAUUCUUACAAGAAUUAAAUAGCGAUGUCUCUGGAAGUUUUGUGGAAGAGGUUUACUGUUGUAGUUGCAACUCAGCUUCCUGAAAGCACUUUACUACGCUUAGCAGAUGUCCUCUGGAAUUCCCAGAUUCCUCUUUUGAUCUGUAGGACAUAUGGACUAGUUGGUUAUAUGAGGAUCAUUAUAAAAGAACAUCCAGUAAUA
rnacentral:sRNA from 1 species